GACGAACGCUGGCGGCGUGCUUAACACAUGCAAGUCGAACGGAAAGGCCCUGCUAUUGUGGGGUGCUCGAGUGGCGAACGGGGGAGGAACACGUGAGUAACCUGCCCUUGACUUUGGGAUAACUUCAGGAAACUGGGGUUAAUACCGGAUAGGAGCCGCUGUUGCGGGGAGGGGGGGGGAAAGUUGCGGCGGUGGGGGAUGGAUGCGCGGCUGAUGAGCUUGUUGGUGGGGGAGUGGAUGGCCAAGGAUUUGACGGGUAGGCGGCCCGGGAGGGUGACCGGCCACAUUGGGCCUACGAUACGGCCCAGUGUCGUACAGGAGGCAGCGGUGGCGAACAUUGCACAGUGGGCGCGCGCCUGAUGCGACAGCCCCGCGUGUGUAAUGCCCGCUUUCGGGUUGUGAACCGCUUUCGCCUGUGACGAAGCUGGAGUGACGGUAAUGAGUAAAGAAGCACCGGCUAACUACGUG
rnacentral:rRNA from 1 species